GAGGGUGUAGCUCAGAGGUAGAGUGCUUGCCUAGCAUGCAGGAAGUCCUGGGUUCAAUCCCCAGUACCUCCA
rnacentral:tRNA from 1 species